GGAAGGCUGGAGUGUGCGGCCAGAGCCGCCCACAAUCGAGAUGCUGCGGGAAGGAGGAGGUGCUGGAGACUGACUGAGGGGCAGAUCAGUGGAGCAUAUUUUCUCCUUGGGGGCCUCGAAGAUCCAGAAGGCAGACAGAGAAGACUAGCAUCUUAUCCGCGACUCUUCAUGGACACAUCGAAGAUCUACGCUUGGUUCUUCAUUAAUGGAACCAAGUAAAAGUUUGGUUAAACUUGAUCUCCCUGCCACGUUAGGCCAGGAAGUCUGGGAUUUCUGCAAAUAGGCUGAGUAAGGCCAAGUAAAGAUCAGUAUUUCUA